rnacentral:rRNA from 1 species
UACGGGGGGGGCAAGCGUUGUUCGGAAUUACUGGGCGUAAAGGGUUCGUAGGUGGCUUGCUAAGUCUGACGUGAAAUCCCUCAGCUUAACUGGGGAACUGCGUCUGAUACUGGUGAGCUUGAGUGCAGGAGAGGAACGCGGAAUUCCAGGUGUAGCGGUGAAAUGCGUAGAUAUCUGGAGGAACACCGGUGGCGAAGGCGGCGUUCUGGACUGCAACUGACACUGAGGAACGAAAGCCAGGGGAGCAAACGGG